AUCUUUCUUAUCCAUUACCAUCACCAGUCUACCCCCAGCCGCCACUGACCUCAAAAUUAGUACUGGGUGGUGCAUCCGCCGAUGUGGUUUUAAUUUUUGCCGCAAAAUUUUUUCUUUUAAGGUGGCUCAAAAGAGUUUUUUAAAAAAAUGGAAAAUUCACGAGUUAGAUGCGUAUUUUUGGACAAGUAUUACUUGUUGAUAAACAAAAAG